UAUACAUAUAUGCAACAUUGUUUAGUUGCAUCCCAAUCCAAAUGGAUGCCGAACGCGAAAUGUAGGAGAUUGCAGCAAAUUUGUGAUAUUUCUAUAUUGUUGUUUUGAUUUUGUUUU